rnacentral:tRNA from 1 species
CGGGAUGUGGUGUAACGGCUAACAUGCCUCUUUUGGGAAGAGGUGACUCAGGGUUCGAAUCCCUGCAUCCCGA